GAUUGACCUCGGAUCAGGUAGGGAUACCCGCUGAACUUAAGCAUAUCAAUAAGCGGAGGAAAAGAAACCAACAGGGAUUGCCUCAGUAACGGCGAGUGAAGCGGCAACAGCUCAAAUUUGAAAUCUGGUCCUUUCAGGCCCCGAGUUGUAAUUUGUAGAGGAUGUUUCGGGCGCGGCGCGGGUCUAAGUCCUUUGGAACAGGGCGUCAGAGAGGGUGAGAAUCCCGUAUGCGACCCGCGACCAAGCCCAUGUGAAACCCCUUCGACGAGUCGAGUUGUUUGGGAAUGCAGCUCAAAAUGGGUGGUAAAUUUCAUCUAAAGCUAAAUACCGGCCAGAGACCGAUAGCGCACAAGUAGAGUGAUCGAAAGAUGAAAAGCACUUUGGAAAGAGAGUCAAAAAGUACGUGAAAUUGUUGAAAGGGAAGCGCUUGCAACCAGACCUGCCCGCGGGCGAUCAACCUCCGUUCUCGGGGGUGCACUCGCCCGCGAUCAGGCCAGCAUCGGUUCGGGCGGUCGGAUAAAGGCCUUGGGAAUGUAGCUCCUUCCGGGGAGUCUUAUAGCCCUCGGUGCAAUGCGGCCAGCCCGGACCGAGGACCGCGCUUCGGCUAGGAUGCUGGCGUAAUGGUUGUAAGCGACCCGUCUUGAAACACGGACCAAGGAGUCUAACAUCUAUGCAAGUGUUUGGGUGUCAAACCCAUACGCGUAAUGAAAGUGAACGGAGGUGAGAACCCUUAAGGGCGCAUCAUCGACCGAUCCAGAUGUCUUCGGAUGGAUUUGAGUACGAGCAUAGCUGUUGGGACCCGAAAGAUGGUGAACUAUGCGUGAAUAGGGUGAAGCCAGAGGAAACUCUGGUGGAGGCUCGCAGCGGUUCUGACGUGCAAAUCGAUCGUCAAAUUUGCGUAUAGGGGCGAAAGACUAAUCGAACC
rnacentral:rRNA from 1 species